UAAUUGCGAUCUGAGUAGUCUAGAAUUUGUCAGGAUCCGACUAGUAUUCAGUUUAGUGUCCUGGUCUUGAAGGGUUUAACUAUAUUUUCCAUAGCUGGGCACCAAUGAGUCAACAAGUUUGUCUCGUUGGCCAGUCGGAACGUUUUCACACCCUUUAGACGAGUGUCGGGGUUGAACAGUAUCUUUGAUCCGAACAAAUUUGAGUGCCCUAAGAAAUCGUAUGGAUCUAAAAAUUCUUGCAUAUGAUAACGAAUAGGAAAUCAGUUCUAUUUUAUUGGUUUUCACAUUCGAAGUAAUGGCUAGAAGGGACAAAUGACUGUAAAUAUAUGACAGUAUUAGAAGCAAAACCUUGGGAUUACGGAGAGACAAACUACUGUAAAACGUUUUGCUGUUAUUAUACUCAUUAAUGAA
rfam:Schistosoma curassoni strain Dakar, Senegal genome assembly, scaffold: SCTD_contig0000014